UGAGGAAUAUUGGUCAAUGGGCGAGAGCCUGAACCAGCCAAGUCGCGUGAAGGAAGACAGUCCUAAGGAUUGUAAACUUCUUUUAUACGGGAAUAACGGGCGAUACGAGUAUUGCAUUGAAUGUACCGUAAGAAUAAGCAUCGGCUAACUCCGUGCCAGCAGCCGCGGUAAUACGGAGGAUGCGAGCGUUAUCCGGAUUUAUUGGGUUUAAAGGGUGCGUAGGUUGUUCGGUAAGUCAGCGGUGAAACCUGAGCGCUCAACGUUCAGCCUGCCGUUGAAACUGCCGGGCUUGAGUUCAGUGGCGGCAGGCGGAAGUCGUGGUGUAGCGGUGAAAUGCAUAGAUAUCACGAGGAACUCCGAUUGCGAAGGCAGCUUGCCAUACUGCGACUGACACUGAAGCACGAAGGCGUGGGUAUCAAACAGG
rnacentral:rRNA from 1 species